rnacentral:rRNA from 1 species
GACGAACGCUGGCGGCGUGCUUAACACAUGCAAGUCGAACGGAAAGGCCCUGCUUUUGUGGGGUGCUCGAGUGGCGAACGGGUGAGUAACACGUGAGUAACCUGCCCUUGACUUUGGGAUAACUUCAGGAAACUGGGGCUAAUACCGGAUAGGAGCUCCUGCUGCAUGGUGGGGGUUGGAAAGUUUCGGCGGUUGGGGAUGGACUCGCGGCUUAUCAGCUUGUUGGUGGGGUAGUGGCUUACCAAGGCUUUGACGGGUAGCCGGCCUGAGAGGGUGACCGGCCACAUUGGGACUGAGAUACGGCCCAGACUCCUACGGGAGGCAGCAGUGGGGAAUAUUGCACAAUGGGCGGAAGCCUGAUGCAGCAACGCCGCGUGCGGGAUGACGGCCUUCGGGUUGUAAACCGCUUUCGCCUGUGACGAAGCGUGAGUGACGGUAAUGGGUAAAGAAGCACCGGCUAACUACGUGCCAGCAGCCGCGGUGAUACGUAGGGUGCGAGCGUUGUCCGGAUUUAUUGGGCGUAAAGGGCUCGUAGGUGGUUGAUCGCGUCGGAAGUGUAAUCUUGGGGCUUAACCCUGAGCGUGCUUUCGAUACGGGUUGACUUGAGGAAGGUAGGGGAGAAUGGAAUUCCUGGUGGAGCGGUGGAAUGCGCAGAUAUCAGGAGGAACACCAGUGGCGAAGGCGGUUCUCUGGGCCUUUCCUGACGCUGAGGAGCGAAAGCGUGGGGAGCGAACAGGCUUAGAUACCCUGGUAGUCCACGCUGUAAACGGUGGGUACUAGGUGUGGGGUCCAUUCCACGGGUUCCGUGCCGUAGCUAACGCUUUAAGUACCCCGCCUGGGGAGUACGGCCGCAAGGCUAAAACUCAAAGGAAUUGACGGGGCCCCGCACAAGCGGCGGAGCAUGCGGAUUAAUUCGAUGCAACGCGUAGAACCUUACCUGGGUUUGACAUGGAUCGGGAGUGCUCAGAGAUGGGUGUGCCUCUUUUGGGGUCGGUUCACAGGUGGUGCAUGGCUGUCGUCAGCUCGUGUCGUGAGAUGUUGGGUUAAGUCCCGCAACGAGCGCAACCCUUGUUCACUGUUGCCAGCACGUUAUGGUGGGGACUCAGUGGAGACCGCCGGGGUCAACUCGGAGGAAGGUGGGGAUGACGUCAAGUCAUCAUGUCCCUUAUGUCCAGGGCUUCACGCAUGCUACAAUGGCUGGUACAGAGAGUGGCGAGCCUGUGAGGGUGAGCGAAUCUCGGAAAGCCGGUCUCAGUUCGGAUUGGGGUCAGCAACUCGACCUCAUGAAGUCGGAGUCGCUAGUAAUCGCAGAUCAGCAACGCUGCGGUGAAUACGUUCCCGGG